rnacentral:tRNA from 1 species
GCUAAAAUAGUUUAAAAAAAAACAUCAGUCUUGUAAACUGAAAUUAGUUUAUAUUACUUUUUAGUA